UACGGAGGGUGCGAGCGUUGUCCGGAAUCACUGGGCGUAAAGGGCGCGUAGGUGGCCGAGCAAGGUCGCGGUGAAAGCCCGGGGCUCAACCCCGGGUCGGCCGUGGCAACUACUGGGCUGGAGCACUGUAGGGGCGGGUGGAAAUCCGGGUGUAGCGGUGGAAUGCGUAGAGAUCCGGAAGAACACCGGUGGCGAAGGCGGCCCGCUGGGCAGUUGCUGACACUGAGGCGCGACAGCGUGGGGAGCAAACAGG
rnacentral:rRNA from 1 species